CCGUGAUCUGCAAAUAAAUAUUAGAUAAAUUCAAAUUUAUCCAACACAUAUAAAAAAAAAAGAGAAAAGAAAGCAGAUUAUAAAAUUCUCUCAUUCCCCACGUUGGAGAAAAAACGUUCCCCUCUCUCCCUAAAAUCUCUCCCACAUCUUUAACCACCUCUCUCCCUAAUUUAAUCACCAAAUUAGUUCAUUCUUCUUCAUAUUCACUCUCUGCAAUCAAGAAACCAGACGUCCUCUUUCAACUUCUAUUCAAGAAAUUGAGAACUAAGGAGAGGGAGUUCCUGUUCCGUCCAGUUGCAAAUCUGCAAAUUUAAGGUAUACACCUCUCCCACCCAAAUUUCCAAUGGCAUACUACUGCAUCCAUAUAUAUUUCCCCUACUGUUGCCACAAUCUGCGAUAUAUCUCCUAAUCGAAUGAAUCGAAGCAAACUAAACUAAAGAAACAAGCUUUAACUCACGAAACCAAAUUAAGAACUUAACUCAGCGGGGUGAAAUCGGGGCGGAAUCAGGGCUGCACGACCACCGACGGAGCAGCGGCUCCCGGCGGCGGCAGCAGCCUGACCCGGCGGACCGCAGCGGCUGGCGAAGCUACGGCAGCGCCGUUAACUCCGUCGAGCAGUAGCCGGCGGCUUUGUGCAGCGGCGUCGGAGCUACUGAUGAGGCGAAGGUUGGACAACGGCAGCGACGAAUCAGCGACGGCGACGGUGGGUACGCGACAGCAGCGGCGGCUGGCGGCGUGGAGUGAAUCGGAGAUUCAACGGUUUCUGUUUUGGGGCUUUCUCUUUAAUUGGGAGUUUUCGUUUUCUUGUGAGAAAAAUCGAAAGAGAGGGAGGUGAAGUUGGAACUUCGUUUCGUCAGUAGCUGCAAGUUGGGGAAGAAUACAGUAGAGAGAGAGAGGGAGGGAAGCCGACGUUUUGUUUAGAGAAGGAGAGUUGAUAUGUUUUGUUACUUUUGCAGUAAGGUGGAUAAAUUGUUGUUGGUGUAUGUGGGGCCAUUAGGGAGGGAGUAUACGUGUAAAAAAAAAAGGAUUUCUUGGGCCUGCCCUUUGUUUUUAAAAGCUAAUUGGACAACAUUAAUAAAUUGGAUGUUUUGUUA